rnacentral:lncRNA from 1 species
GCCGAACGCCUGCGGAGAUCUUAUGCCUUGAUGGCUUGGAGAUAGUGGCAGGUCGCAAACCGUAGGAGUUGUCAAGUCCCUUGGACUUUAGGCGGAGGUUGAACAUUUGGUUAAGGCAUCGGCUCGGCAAGGGUGCCGAGCCGAGCUGGUCGCCCAAUGGGGCGCCCUGUGGCGGGGUUGCUUCAAGUACUCCUGGUCGGCGCCCUUUGGGCGAGCACCUUCUAGCCGAGCACCUCUAUCUGGCGCUCUCUAGUCAGCGCUUUCUAGUUGAGCGCUUCUCUGGUCGGCGUCCGUUGGUCGGUUGUUCCUAUCCGAGCAUCUCUACUUGGUUAUUUUGAUUGGGCGCCUCUUGGCGCUCUCUCUGGUCGGCGCCCUUUAGUCGAGCGUCUUCCUGGUCGGCUCUUUCUAGCCGAACAUCCCUACUUUGGGACGUUGGUUGGUCCGAGCGCCUCUUGGCGCUCCGGUCGGCACUUUUGGGCCAAGCAUCUUUUCAGAUUGGCGCUCUCUCUGGUCGAGCGCCC